rnacentral:lncRNA from 1 species
AUCUCACAACAUUUUGCAUUUUCCUGUAAAUAGGCACCUGAAUGUACUGUUGCAACAUAAAACAUUCAAGCUUGAAUAGUCGCGUUUUCCAUCAUAACAUGAUACGGAAACAGAACACCUUUUUUCUAAUAGUUUGAGGGGAAUAAGAGAGGGAUUACAAGGUGGAGAACACAACCCCACCAACAAGUGAAAAUUCAAUUAGCCAA